AGGCUGCCCACACUGGAAUAUCCACUAUGGAGCAUCCAUUCCAUAAGAGCUGAGCUCCUGUCCAUCUCGGUCCCGACUGCAUCCCGACUGAUCCUUGGGACAAUGCCUGGAUCCCCUACGUGGCCGGCAGCAGUACAGAAUGAUAAACUCCUAGUGAAGGGAAGCUGAUCUCCCCAAAAUGCAGAUGCGUUUACCCUUUGAUGCAGCGACCCCACUUCUGGGCAUUUCCUUUACAGAUUCAAUUGCACGUAUACGAUAACAUGUGCACAAAAGUAUUUACUGUGACUUUGUUUGUAUUAUAAUAACAAAAGGUUAUAAACAACCCACGCCCAUCAGUAGAAAAUGAGUUGAAUAAACUAUGGUACAUAUGGAAAUGGAAUGCUAUACAGCUGUUAAAAAUAUUGCAGAAGAUAUCUAUGUGCAGACAAGGACAGAUCCGGGGACAAAGAAUAUACAUAGAGUGCUUUCUAACACACAAAGUGAGAUUUAUAUAUUUAUAUUUGCUUAUAAAUAAAAAAUAAGGAACAAUAGCUACCAGUGGGGGAGUCUUCUUAGUUUAUAUCUUUUUAUCUAAUUUUGAACUUUGAGCUGUGUAAACGUAUUAUGUAUUGAAAAAAGAAUGGUGCCUGGCACAUGGCAGAUGCUCAGCUAAUUGUGUUGAAAGAAAGCAGGGAUUAGUGAAUGAACAUAUGACUUUGAUGAGAAAGACAAGUGACUAGACAUGUUGAGGCCGCCAUGGUAGCCCGCUGCGAGAGGAACUAACAGCUCCCUCAGCCUGGGGGGAUGAGAGUCACGCAUUACUCAGUGUGCUGAAGAGUGUCCCUAAGGGAGGACCUUAUGGUUAUAGGAGCAGGUCUGAGUCUACGGCUCUGCGUGCGGGUGGUCCUCAAGGUCAAGGUGAGUCUACUAGGCAGGCAUUCAUUCGUUAUUCGUUCAUCCACUCAAGAAAUCCUUGCUGGGUGUUACUUUGUGCAAGGUCGUGCACUGAGGGCUGUGGACAUCAGGAGAACUGGGCAGCUGUGAUCCCCGUCCUCUGGGAGCUCACAGUCCAAGGCACACAGGAGUCGAAGGUGUAUCCUGAGCCCGCACCCCUCCGUUUGGCUUUAGCCUGUCCCGCUCUCCUUUGGAUGAGUCUCCUGGGGACAGAGGGGUGGAAUAAAGAGGAAAUCAAAUACUAAUUUGCAGAAUUAUAGUGAAGUUGUGAGUACGGAGCAGAGGGAGUUUGUUACCCUGGAACAGGGCAUGCUAACUCAUGGGGGCCUGAACUUCCCACCUCUUUAACUCCUUUGUGGGCAAAAGAAACUUCUAGGUCAUUGGAACAGACUGGAAGGAAGCAUCCUGUUGGCAGUGUUGGGGUACUGUACGUGGCAGUAGGGAAACAGAGACUCGUGGUUUUCCUGGGGGCUCCUGAGCCUCCCAAGAGCCAGCAGACCCCACGGCAACGUGGAGAACACCCGCUGUUGUCAACAUUUACGAGGCGCACUCCACGUGGUCUUCUGCUUUGGGCGAAGGAAAGGGUUUUUGAGGGUCACCGUCCAGUGGUCUCUCCUGAUCUGGAAGCACAGAAAUGUAGUUUGUUAUGUUUAUUGUAAGCUGACCAAAUUCACAAGAUGAUAACCUGGAAAUGACCGGUGACAAAUGACUUAACCUUGUCCCUUCCCAAAAUGAAAGAAAUCUGUGCGCUCAGUUGAGAGCCGACCUUCUAUUAAAGAUGCAUGUUCGAGAUGCAUUUCAAAAUCGUGGCAGUAACCCUGAUCCGAUGGAAAGACUUCCUUGUGAUCUUGCCUCUGGAGUUCAUUUUUGGGAACAGAAUGAACCUGGAAGCAAAGCAAGAGUAUGAGUAUAAAAAGAUGGCGGAGGGACAGACUGUUCUUGGCACGAAAUUGCAGCCAUUUUAAUGAUUCAGUUAGAGCAAAUUUAAAUUAAUAACACCCCUUUCUAUCAUAAGUGUUUUGGUGACCCACAGCCCAAGGAAAUGAUCAAAAUCAAUGAUAGUAUUUCCAAGAGUAAUUUACAGUCUACAGUUUUCAGAUGCUUCAGUCCGUUUAUGCUUCACCAAAUCCCGUAAGGAGACACUACCCUCUCCGUUUAAUGAUGAGUCAAGAGUUCCGGGCCUCGCCCGGGGGGCACUGUGCUCACAGGUGAGGGAGGCAGAACUUGAAUUUGAUCCUUUUUGGCACUGGAGCUUCUGCACUUUCCACCACGCCACACGCGCAAUGUCAGCAUGGUACCUCUGCCUGGUGAGCCUCCUCACCUUCUGAUGACACUCACUCACUACAAAGGCCACCGUGUGUAUGGAGGUAGAACUUUGAACUUGACCUGCUGUAGAUGUGCCGGCCUCUGGGCAGCAGGAAGAGAGAAGUGAAAAGUGGCUGACCUUCUGCUCUUCUCAUCCUCGGCGUGAAGUCACCGCCGUUGUAAUCGUUCCAUCGAGCUCUCGCUAAUGGAGAAGAUGAGUGUCCCCAGGGCAGAGGCUGUCGCUGUCUCAUUGACUGUUGUGCACAUUGCCUAGACCACAGCUGGAUGCUGAAUGAGUAAAUAAACCCCCAGCACAUCCCAAAUGAUUUGGGAAGGAUAUGUUAGAAGAUUGGUGGUGGUUAUACAGAGUAUGGGGGAGAGGGAAGACCUAAAGAGACAGAUUUUUGAUGGCAUCCUGACUCUCUACUCUAACUCAUUCAAAAGUAGACUAAAGGGGCUAUCGUACUUUUUCCUCCAGCUUAAUGUGGCUUGGUAACCUAGAUAGCCAUGAACUCAGUUAACUUCAAAAUGAUGCUCAGAAAUAUGGUAUUUGGGAUAAAGAAACAAGCUCAGAGAGGUUAAAUGGUUUUCCCAAAGUCACACAGCUGGCGAACAGCUCAGCAAGCCUGACCCAGCGUCUUUGGACUAAACCCAGGGCUCAUUGCGUUAUUCUCGUUGCUUCUCCAUCAGGGACCCUUGAGACCAAACAUUAGAAUUCCUGGGAGCAGAGGAGGAGAAAGCAGAGGAGCCUGCCUCCAGAUCUUAUUCUUAGGCUGAAUAAUCUUCCGUUGUAUGUAUGGACUACAUUUUGCUCAUCCAUUCAUCUCUUGAUGGACAUCCGGGUUGCUUCCACUUUGGCCUAUUAGACAACAUUUUAUAUGCUUGACCUCAGUCAGAAUUCAAAUCUGGUGAACAGGAAGGAGGAAAUGGGAAGACCUGCGUGCUGAAUUAUCAUCUUUGGCGGAUAAAGUCAUCUGACUUUUGAGGCAGAACAAAUGAGUGGCAUGUCUAUCUCAUAAACACUGAAGAGAAGAGAAGGCUGCUCCAAUUUUAACGCUUUAUGCUUAGUGUUUUGGAAAUAGCAGCAAGACUGGAAGCACUGUGCUAAAAAUGGAGCUUCUGAGACAGCCCUCCUCUCCCUUAUUUCGCUUCCAGGAGAUAAGUAAGGGAGCGCAACGUUUCCCAAACGGGAAGCCCGUGAAAGAUGUGGAUCUGGUCAAUAAAUCUUUCAAGAGCUAUAUUUUAUUCAUGACUCCUACACAGUUUUCCUUAUAAAUCUACUCAACCUAUAUA